AUACGGAGGGUGCAAGCGUUAAUCGGAAUUACUGGGCGUAAAGCGCUCGUAGGCGGCUUGUAAAGUCGGAUGUGAAAGCCCCGGGCUCAACCUGGGAACUGCAUUCGAUACUGGCAAGCUAGAGUAUAGUAGAGGCAAGUGGAAUUCCGGGUGUAGCGGUGAAAUGCGUAGAUAUCCGGAGGAACAUCAGUGGCGAAGGCGACUUGCUGGACUAAUACUGACGCUGAGGAGCGAAAGCGUGGGGAGCAAACGGGAUUAGAAACCCCGGUAGUCC
rnacentral:rRNA from 1 species